rnacentral:rRNA from 1 species
UACGUAGGGGGCAAGCGUUGUCCGGAAUCAUUGGGCGUAAAGCGCGUGUAGGCGGCUCGAUAAGUCUGCUGUGAAAGUCCAGGGCUCAACCCUGGGAUGCCGGUGGAUACUGUCGAGCUCGAGUCCGGAAGAGGCGAGUGGAGUUCCUGGUGCAGCGGUGAAAUGCGCAGAUAUCAGGAGGAACACCAAUGGCGAAGGCAGCUCGCUGGGACGUAACUGACGCUGAGACGCGAAAGCGUGGGGAGCAAACAGG